rnacentral:rRNA from 1 species
UACGUAGGGUGCAAGCGUUAAUCGGAAUUACUGGGCGUAAAGCGUGCGCAGGCGGUUGUGCAAGACAGAUGUGAAAUCCCCGGGCUUAACCUGGGAACUGCAUUUGUGACUGCACAGCUGGAGUGCGGCAGAGGGGGAUGGAAUUCCGCGUGUAGCAGUGAAAUGCGUAGAUAUGCGGAGGAACACCGAUGGCGAAGGCAAUCCCCCUGGGCCUGCACUGACGCUCAUGCACGAAAGCGUGGGUAGCGAACAGG